rnacentral:rRNA from 1 species
UCAAGUUUACAAAGGGCGCAGGGCGGAUGCCUUGGCACCAGGAGCCGAAGAAGGACGUGAUAAGCUGCGAAAAGCUGCGGGGAGGAGCAAAUAUCCAUUGAUCCGCAGGUAUCCGAAUGGGGAAACCCGGCAGAAAGAACUUCUGUCACCGUAUGAUGAAUCCAUAGUCAUACGGAGGGAACCCGGCGAACUGAAACAUCUAAGUAGCCGGAGGAAGAGGAAGAAACAUCGAAUCCCUAAGUAGUGGCGAGCGAAAGGGGACGAAGCCCAAACCAAGGAUUUAUCCUUGGGGUUGAGGACCACAUACGAAGAAGCAGUAGGUAGCAGAACGGUUUUGGGAAAGCCGGCCAUAGAGAGUGAAAGCCUCGUAUGCGAAACAGACUGUGAUUCAGUGGUAUCCGGAGUACUACGGGACACGAGAAACCCCGUAGGAAGCAGGGGGGACCACCCCCCAAGGCGAAAUACUACCUGGUGACCGAUAGAGUAUAGUACCGUGAGGGAAAGGUGAAAAGAACCCCGGGAGGGGAGUGAAAGAGAACCUGAAACCCUGUGUCUACAAGCUGCGGAAGAGCGACUAACGCUCGACCGUGUACUUUUUGUAGAACGGUCCGGCGAGUUGCCGUUGCUGGCAGGUUAAGUACUUAAGGUACGGAGCCGAAGGGAAACCAAGUCUUAAUAGGGCGGUAAGUCAGUAACGGCAGACCCGAAACCGGGUGACCUACCCAUGGCCAGGAUGAAGUCUGCGUAAAAGUGGAUGGAGGUCCGAACACACGUCUGUUGAAAAAGGCGGUGAUGAGCUGUGGGUAGCGGAGAAAUUCCAAUCGAACUCGGAGAUAGCUGGUUCUCCCCGAAAUAGCUUUAGGGCUAGCCUCGGUAUAGUCUAAUGGAGGUAGAGCACUGAAUCGCUGCGGGGGCGUCAAAGUCUACCAAUGCGUAUCAAACUCCGAAUGCCAUAUAGAUGUUUACCGGGAGUCAGACUGUAUGAGAUAAGUCGGACAGUCAAAAGGGAAACAGCCCAGACCAUCUGCUAAGGUCCCAAAGUGUAUGUUAAGUGGUAAAGGAUGUGGGGUUUCGAAGACAACUAGGAUGUUGGCUCAGAAGCAGCCAUUCAUUCAAAGAGUGCGUAAUAGCUCACUAGUCGAGAGGUCCUGCGCCGAAAAUGUCCGGGGCUGAAACAUAACACCGAAGCAAUGGAAUAUACCGUAAGGUAUGUUGGUAGGGGAGCAUUGAUAACACGGAGAAGCGGUACCGUAAGGAGCCGUGGAGGGUUAUCAAGAGAGAAUGCCGGAAUGAGUAGCGAGAUGAAGGUGAGAAUCCUUCAGGCCGUAUAUCCAAGGUUUCCAGGGUAAAGCUGAUCUUCCCUGGGGAAGUCGGGACCUAAGCUCAGGCUGAGAAGCGUAGGCGAUGGACAACUGGUUGAUAUUCCAGUACCUCUGGCUAUCAGAAAUGUGGGGACACGGAGAUUCAGGGAGUGCCUGUAAAGGAUUCAGGUGCAAGCAUGGUUUAUGCCGGGCAGGCAAAUCCGUCCGGGUAAGUGGACUGUGUGAUGCGGACCGAAAUAUAAGUAGGGAAGCUCCUGGGAGAGCCGUCGAGAAAAGCCGCUAUUGUGUAGUCAGAGCCCGUACCGUAAACCGACACAGGUGGAUGGGGAGAGUAUCCCAAGGCCGGCGGGAGAAGCAUUGUUAAGGAACUCGGCAAAAUGGCCCCGUAAGUUCGCGAUAAGGGGUGCCUGUAGAGAUACAGGCCGCAGAGAAUAGGCUCAAGCAACUGUUUAGCAAAAACACAGGUCUAUGCGAAACCGUAAGGUGAUGUAUAUGGGCUGACGCCUGCCCGGUGCUGGAAGGUUACGGGGAGUGCUUAGGAGCAAUCCGAAGGUACGAACUUAAGCCCCAGUAAACGGCGGCCGUAACUAUAACGGUCCUAAGGUAGCGAAAUUCCUUGUCGGGUAAGUUCCGACCCGCACGAAAGGCGUAAUGA